rnacentral:rRNA from 1 species
CAAGUCGAGCGAGGCCCGUUCCUUCGGGAACGGUGCCCUAGCGGCGAACGGGUGAGUAACACGUGGGCAACCUGCCCCUAGCACUGGGAUAACUCCGGGAAACCGGGGCUAAUACCGGAUACGACCUCUGAGGGCAUCCUCCGGAGGUGGAAAGGAUUCUGGCUAGGGAUGGGCCCGCGGCCUAUCAGCUUGUUGGUGGGGUAACGGCCUACCAAGGCGACGACGGGUAGCCGGCCUGAGAGGGCGACCGGCCACACUGGGACUGAGACACGGCCCAGACUCCUACGGGAGGCAGCAGUGGGGAAUAUUGCACAAUGGGCGAAAGCCUGAUGCAGCGACGCCGCGUGAGGGAUGACGGCCUUCGGGUUGUAAACCUCUUCCAGCAGGGACGAAGCGAAAGUGACGGUACCUGCAGAAGAAGCACCGGCCAACUACGUGCCAGCAGCCGCGGUAAUACGUAGGGUGCAAGCGUUGUCCGGAAUUAUUGGGCGUAAAGAGCUCGUAGGCGGCUUGUCGCGUCGGCUGUGAAAACCUGAGGCUCAACCUCGGGCCUGCAGCCGAUACGGGCAAGCUAGAAUUCGGUAGGGGAGACUGGAAUUCCUGGUGUAGCGGUGAAAUGCGCAGAUAUCAGGAGGAACACCGGUGGCGAAGGCGGGUCUCUGGGCCGAUAUUGACGCUGAGGAGCGAAAGCGUGGGGAGCGAACAGGAUUAGAUACCCUGGUAGUCCACGCCGUAAACGUUGGGCGCUAGGUGUGGGCUCCAUUCCACGGAGUCUGUGCCGUAGCUAACGCAUUAAGCGCCCCGCCUGGGGAGUACGGCCGCAAGGCUAAAACUCAAAGGAAUUGACGGGGGCCC